rnacentral:rRNA from 1 species
CAGUAGCCGCGGGAAAACGUAGGGUGCAAGCGUUGUCCGGAAUCAUUGGGCGUAAAGCGCGCGUAGGUGGCCAUUUAAGUCCGCUGUGAAAGUCAAAGGCUCAACCUUUGAAAGCCGGUGGAUACUGGAUGGCUAGAGUACGGAAGAGGCGAGUGGAAUUCCUGGUGUAGCGGUGGGAUGCGCAGAUAUCAGGAGGAACACCAAUAGCGAAGGCAGCCCGCUGGGACGUUACUGACACUGAGGCGCGAAAGCGUGGGGAGCGAACAGGAUUAGAUACCCCCGUAGUCCCUGUCUCUUAUAC